rnacentral:rRNA from 1 species
CACGUAGGGUGCGAGCGUUGUCCGGAAUUAUUGGGCGUAAAGAGCUCGUAGGUGGUUUGUCGCGUUGUUCGUGAAAACCGGGGGCUUAACCCUCGGCGUGCGGGCGAUACGGGCAGACUGGAGUACUGCAGGGGAGACUGGAAUUCCUGGUGUAGCGGUGGAAUGCGCAGAUAUCAGGAGGAACACCGGUGGCGAAGGCGGGUCCCUGGGCAGUAACUGACGCUGAGGAGCGAAAGCGUGGGGAGCGAACAGG